GAUAACUUCGGGAAACCGGAGCUAAUACCGGAUAAUAUUUUGAACCGCAUGGUUCAAAAGUAAAAGACGGUCUUGCUGUCACUUAUAGAUGGAUCCGCGCUGCAUUAGCUAGUUGGUAAGGUAACGGCUUACCAAGGCAACGAUGCAUAGCCGACCUGAGAGGGUGAUCGGCCACACUGGAACUGAGACACGGUCCAGACUCCUACGGGAGGCAGCAGUAGGGAAUCUUCCGCAAUGGGCGAAAGCCUGACGGAGCAACGCCGCGUGAGUGAUGAAGGUCUUCGGAUCGUAAAACUCUGUUAUUAGGGAAGAACAUAUGUGUAAGUAACUGUGCACAUCUUGACGGUACCUAAUCAGAAAGCCACGGCUAACUACGUGCCAGCAGCCGCGGUAAUACGUAGGUGGCAAGCGUUAUCCGGAAUUAUUGGGCGUAAAGCGCGCGUAGGCGGUUUUUUAAGUCUGAUGUGAAAGCCCACGGCUCAACCGUGGAGGGUCAUUGGAAACUGGAAAACUUGAGUGCAGAAGAGGAAAGUGGAAUUCCAUGUGUAGCGGUGAAAUGCGCAGAGAUAUGGAGGAACACCAGUGGCGAAGGCGACUUUCUGGUCUGUAACUGACGCUGAUGUGCGAAAGCGUGGGGAUCAAACAGGAUUAGAUACCCUGGUAGUCCACGCCGUAAACGAUGAGUGCUAAGUGUUAGGGGGUUUCCGCCCCUUAGUGCUGCAGCUAACGCAUUAAGCACUCCGCCUGGGGAGUACGACCGCAAGGUUGAAACUCAAAGGAAUUGACGGGGACCCGCACAAGCGGUGGAGCAUGUGGUUUAAUUCGAAGCAACGCGAAGAACCUUACCAAAUCUUGACAUCCUUUGACAACUCUAGAGAUAGAGCCUUCCUCUUCGGGGGACAAAGUGACAGGUGGUGCAUGGUUGUCGUCAGCUCGUGUCGUGAGAUGUUGGGUUAAGUCCCGCAACGAGCGCAACCCUUAAGCUUAGUUGCCAUCAUUAAGUUGGGCACUCUAAGUUGACUGCCGGUGACAAACCGGAGGAAGGUGGGGAUGACGUCAAAUCAUCAUGCCCCUUAUGAUUUGGGCUACACACGUGCUACAAUGGACAAUACAAAGGGCAGCGAAACCGCGAGGUCAAGCAAAUCCCAUAAAGUUGUUCUCAGUUCGGAUUGUAGUCUGCAACUCGACUACAUGAAGCUGGAAUCGCUAGUAAUCGUAGAUCAGCAUGCUACGGUGAAUACGUUCCCGGGUCUUGUACACACCGCCCGUCACACCACGAGAGUUUGUAACACCCGAAGCCGGUGGAGUAACCUUUUAGGAGCUAGCCGUCGAAGGUGGGACAAAUGAUUGGGGUGAAGUCGUAACAAGGUAGCCGUAUCGGAAGGUGCGGCUGGAUCACCU
rnacentral:rRNA from 1 species